rnacentral:tRNA from 1 species
GAGCCCAUAGCUCAGCGGUAGAGCAUCUGACUUUUAAUCAGGUGGUCGUAGGUUCGAUCCCUACUGGGCUCACCA